UACGUAGGUGGCAAGCGUUGUCCGGAUUUAUUGGGUUUAAAGGGCGCGUAGGCGGCUUUUUAAGUCAGUGGUGAAAGCCGAUCGCUUAACGAUCGAACUGCCAUUGAUACUGCGAGGCUUGAGUAUAGUUGAGGUAGGCGGAAUUGACAGUGUAGCGGUGAAAUGCGUAGAUAUUGGGAAGAACACCAGUGGCGAAGGCAGCUUACUAGAGUAUAACUGACGCUGAGGCGCGAAAGUGCGGGGAGCAAACAGG
rnacentral:rRNA from 1 species